ACCCUUUCCCCUAAAAUAAACACGCGGACACAUCUAGGGUUUCACAUCUCAUCUCAUUCUUAUCCGCCCCUCCAUCUGCUCUCUCUGGAUUCAGAUCUAGGGUUUUGAUUUCAGAGGUAAAGAUUGAAUCAUGAAGAUUUCUCCCAGAUCCGAUUUUGGUCUCGCAGAUCUGGUAAGUUUUGCUACUCACUUAGCCUAAGUUUCAGCAGAUCUGAUAUUAUAAAUAUAAAUUCACCUUAGUUUCGCUCUCUUUACGGUCAUUAAUCAUAAUGUUACGAAUCAAAAGAUGUACCUCAGCUUCUGGACAUCAUCUUUACCAAGGUAGUUAGUUAUUAAAUGUUCAUAUGGCUGGCUGGCUGGCAUUUCAAGUAAUCAUCCACAAUUUGUGUGAAUCAUGAAGAUUUCUCCCAGAUCCGAUUUUGGUCUCGUAGAUCUGUCAUUAAUCACUUUGCCCAAAUUUCAGUAGAUCUGAGAUCUGAGAUAAUCUCACCAGUGCAUGGAUCAGUACACAUUUGGAAAGCCCGAGCAUUAAAAACCUGCAAUUGCAAAGCUUGAGAUGUAUUAGCUUUUGGAAAGCUUGAGAUGUAUUCCUUUUUCUUAAACCUAUACAGUCAAGACAAAUAUUGAAGACAGUUUCAAGUUUGGCUUUAUUGCUGCUGAUAAAAGAAAAAUAACUGCUACAACUUGGGUACCCAUACUGGCAAUUAGAAUUACGUCGUGGUCACAUACGAAAGGUUAAAAGGAUAGGUAAAAAAGUAAGAAUGGUUGACUUUGAUUAGUGAAACUGAGCCAUUUCAACUCACUAGACCUUGAAGUUGAACCCAACUAUAUUAUUAAUCUUGUUUUUUGAGAGUAAAUAUGUUGGAGAGGAACAAGAGAGAGGAAGCUUGGAGAGGCUGGUUUGAAUCUAAUGGGCAAAACAUCUACUUUUAGCAUACAAUGGAGGAUUCUGAUGUUCUUAUGAUUUGGCUUCGUGUGAGCAAUGGUGGUUGCUUCGGAAUCAUGAAAAGGCAGCAAGCCUGCAUCAAGUGGAUGCAUGUUUCUCUACAAGUGAAGUAAAGACUUGCAGCAGUUACUGAAUACUGCAAGUCCUUUUCUUGUGAUCUCAGGCAACGGCUGACAUCUUAGUAGUGGUUUUAUGUACUUCAAUACUAUUUGGUCAGUGAUGCCAGUGAUUGGCAUUCGCAGCAUUUUUGAGAAAUUUUCAAUGAAAACGACAUUCAACAAGAGAGUUUCGAAAUAUCAAUUGGACAUGGUUUUUAUAAUCCUGAUUAAUACACUAUAGAUGUUCCUCUAUAAGAUUAUAAAAAAAGGUGUCGCUCUAACCUGGCCUGACCCGUUAUAAGUCGCUCUAACCUGGCCCGACCCGUUUUAACUUUUGGAGGUAUGAUUAAACCUCAGAUUACUUUCAUCUUUUGUUUUUAAUAAACACAGAAGACCUGCCCUUUUGUGACUUUUAGAAAGUCAAACCUGGUAAUUCUCGUAAACUUGAUACACAUAGAGUAGUUUUGUAAUCUUAAUUAUUUCUAUCCUAAUAUAGUGGUUCGUAAUUACCAUAUAUAUGUAUAACAGAUGAGUUAUUUAAUAUCAAUUUUGAUUAAAAAGCAACUGCUCUUGAAAGUCAAAAUUUGACCCAUUUUUUCAAGAGGUUGCUAUUGAUGAUU